UUUCCUUUCCCUCCUUUGGGAAAAAUAACGCACGGUGGCGACUCUUCUAUCAUUUCUUUUUUCGCCGGUUGUUUUUUUCGCAUUCUUUUUUUAGGUUGCGACACAUCUUGAGUCAUAUCUAUGACUCCAAGAAAAGGAACUCCAAGGGUUAUCUCUCCCCUCUUAUCUUUGUAUGCUUUAGGAAUAGCCCUUCUCUCCUCUUCCCCUCUGACCAAGCCAAAAAUCAUUUUC
rnacentral:lncRNA from 1 species